UACGGAGGGUGCAAGCGUUACUCGGAAUCACUGGGCAUAAAGCGCGCGCAGGCGGUCUUUUAAGUUGGAUGUGAAAGCCUACGGCUCAACCGUAGAACUGCAUCCAAAACUAUUAGACUAGAGUGUGGGAGAGGAAGAUGGAAUUAGUUGUGUAGGGGUAAAAUCCGUAGAGAUAACUAGGAAUACCAAAAGCGAAGGCAAUCUUCUGGAACACUACUGACGCUGAGGCGCGAAAGCGUGGGGAGCAAACAGGAUUAGAUACCCUAGUAGUCC
rnacentral:rRNA from 1 species